CAGCCGCCACGGUAAAACGUAGGUGGCAAGCGUUGUCCGGAAUUAUUGGGCGUAAAGGGCUCGCAGGCGGUUUCUUAAGUCUGAUGUGAAAGCCCCCGGCUCAACCGGGGAGGGUCAUUGGAAACUGGGAAACUUGAGUGCAGAAGAGGAGAGUGGAAUUCCACGUGUAGCGGUGAAAUGCGUAGAGAUGUGGAGGAACACCAGUGGCGAAGGCGACUCUCUGGUCUGUAACUGACGCUGAGGAGCGAAAGCGUGGGGAGCGAACAGGAUUAGAUACCCCAGUAGUCCCUGUCUCUUAUCC
rnacentral:rRNA from 1 species